GUUAUACGUGUUGUACUACCAGUGGCCAGCUUUUAUUAUUUAUGACAAUUUAAAAUUUAAAUAAUAUUCAAUCAUAUCCUCUCUUCCCCAAGUCCUUUCAGGUAUUCUCCACUCAACUUUAAGCCAAUGUUAAGUAUUUUACAAACAAAACAAACCAACAAACAAAAAAACCAACCCUAGCCACCCCCCCAAAAAAACAAAUAAAAAUCCCAGUCCAGUAUAAUGAAGUAAAACACACCCCAAAGAAAGAAAUAAACACAAAAUUGUAACCAAAUCAAAGAAUACAAAAUUGUAAAAUCACUAAGAUAAAUCAGAAAAUAAUCUAAUUUAUUAUUAAUGUAUAGAAUCUGGCUAUAGUAUUCUACAUAAACUAAAUUGAAAGCUGACAGAAUAUGGAGUCAGAUCUUUCAGAUUAUACAGUGUAGAGCUGUGAGGAAAAUCUAAGGAACGCAGAUAGGACUGCUUGCUAGAAUUUGCAUAGUAAAUGCCUCCCAAGAUCUAUGUGUUAGAGAAUUAGUCUCCAGUUUGGAGCUAUUGUAAGGUAAUGGCAGCUUUAAGGGUUGGGCCCCAUUUGAAGGUUUGAGUCUAGUAUUUAUCUCCUAGUUCCUGUGACCUGUGAAGCACUGAAAAUUAACAUUCGUGGGCUGAUAAGCUGGCAGUAGGAAAAAUUGCUUGCUUGCUGCUAAGCCUGAUGACUUGAGUUCAAUGUCCAGAACCCAGAGGAGAAAGGAGGGAGACUGAAUCUUACAAGUUGUCUCCUGAUGGCCACAGGUGCUCCAUCGCUAUGCACACUAGAACAGAGUAAAUAAAACAAACAGAUAUAAAAAGUAAACACACAAAACUGGCAUUGAGGUGUGGUAGUUUGAAUGUCAAAUGCCCCAGUGGGCUCUCCUAUUUGAAUACUUGGUCCCUAGUUAGGGGUGCUGUUUGAGGAGGUUUUGGAACUUUUAGAAAGUAGUCUUGCUGGAAAAAUUAUGUCACUAUGGCCAGCUCUGAGAAUUUAUAGCCCCCCCCCUUCCAGUUUGUUCUCUUUGCUUUCUGUUUGUCCUGGAGGAUCUGAUGUCCAGCUUCAUGAUCUGGCUGCUUGCUGACUGCCAUGUCCCCCUCAUCUUGAUGGACUCUGCCAUAAGCCAAACUUAAUUCCUCAUGUUAGAAAUUGUUUUGAGUCCUGGUAUUUUAUUACAACAACAGAAAGUAAGUGAUUCAUCAGGUUUCCUGAGAUUAACAAAUGCCUUCUCGGUAAAAUCAACAUUAUUGGUUCAUCUAUUUAUUUUGCUUUCUCCCUAAAUCAUUCUUACCUUUUGAUAUACUAUCUUGACAAAUGCAAUCAACAUGAUACAUGUUGUGUGCAAUAUUCUUACUUGCUUACAGGAUACUUUAUAUUGGUAUGCAUAGGCUAAUUGCACUGGCAGGAAAAGGUUUUAUUUUAUUUUUUUUAUCACAUUCCCCAGUAUAAUACUUACUAUGUUAUAUUUAUUUCCCUCCUACAAUUGUAUCAUUUAUUUAACUGCUAUUUUAAGUGUUUUUUCCGUCAGAAAAGAAAGGAAAUGCAUGUUCUCAAAUUUAUUUUUAAUUAUGUUUUUAUUUAUUCUUUUGAAAUCUCAUACAAUAUAUUUUUAUCCAAUUUGUUCUCCUUAUCCAAUUCCUCUAAGAUUCAUCUGACCUUUCUACCCACCUAAUUUCUCUCUCAUGCCUAAAACAAAACAAAAACAAACAAACAAACAAACAAAAGCAAAACAUCCUCUGUGGUAUCUAAUUUUCAUCCACAGAUUUAUUUUGAUACUCACAUUUCUUAAAAUGUAGUUCCUCUGGGCAUAUGUUAUAGUUGUGUAGCUUCGUCUUCAAGUGGGACUCCUAACAGCAGGAGCUGCCUCUGACUCUAUUGCUUGCUGUUGGGACCCUUUCUUCCUACUUGGAUACUUCAUCUAGCCUCAAAGGGAGAGGAUGCUCUGGCCUUACUUCAGCUUGAUAUACUAGGGCUGGUUGAUAUCCACUGGAGGCCUCCUCUUUUCUGAAGAGAAGUGGAGGACAAAUGGAUAGUCGGGGAGCAGAGGUAGUAAGGGAAAGACUGGGAGGGGAGGAGGGAGAGGAAACUGCAGUUGGGAAGUAAAGUAAAUAAAUAAUAACAAAAGAAAAAGGACAAUUAUUUUAAAAUUCAAAUACUGUAUAAUAUUUAUUUUCUAGUUAUUUUAUUUUACUUUUAGGUAAAUUAAAUUUCCUUUCAUUUUCAAAAUAAAAAAUAAUAAGCAAUUACAUAUAAACAUGGAAUAUAUUUAACUCAUUAUUCUGAAAAAUGGAGUAGAUGAGUAGCAAAAAUAUAUAUUCAACUGGACUGCAUGAAAAUUGUCCUUGAUAUUAUAAUAGUAUGAUAUGAUUUUUGUUCAAUCACAUUUCCUCUUAAAUUAAAAUUUAUACACUAUGUUCUGAUUAUGAUUUCUCCUCUCUCAUCUCCUUCAAGAUCCUCCCACCUCCCGAGUCUUCCAAUCCUAUGCCAUCUUUCUCUCUAUCUCAAUAGAAUACAAAUAGGAAAAUAAAAGAAAGAAACAAACAAACCAGAAUUG
rnacentral:lncRNA from 1 species